rnacentral:rRNA from 1 species
AGGUCAAUAACCUUGGCUAGCGGCGAGUGAAGCGGCAAAAGCUCAAAUUUGAAAUCUGGCACUUUCAGUGUCCGAGUUGUAAUUUGAAGAAGGUAUCUUUGGGUCUGGCUCUUGUCUAUGUUUCUUGGAACAGAACGUCACAGAGGGUGAGAAUCCCGUGCGAUGAGAUGUCCCAGACCUAUGUAAAGUUCCUUCGAAGAGUCGAGUUGUUUGGGAAUGCAGCUCUAAGUGGGUGGUAAAUUCCAUCUAAAGCUAAAUAUUGGCGAGAGACCGAUAGCGAACAAGUACAGUGAUGGAAAGAUGAAAAGAACUUUGAAAAGAGAGUGAAAAAGUACGUGAAAUUGUUGAAAGGGAAGGGCUUGAGAUCAGACUUGGUAUUUUGUAUGUUACUCUCUCGGGGGUGGCCUCUACAGUUUACCGGGCCAGCAUCAGUUUGGGCGGUAGGACAAUUGCAAAGAAAUGUGGCACUGCCUCGGUAGUGUGUUAUAGUCUUUGUCGAUACUGCCAGCCUAGACUGAGGACUGCGGCUUCGGCCUAGGAUGUUGGCAUAAUGAUCUUAAGUCGCCCGUCUUAAAACCCCGAAACAAACAAACCGGCUUUUUAUUUAAGCGACACACCACUGUUUUUUUAUAAAGAAAAAAAAAAGAGGGGUGGGGGGGGGGGGAC